rnacentral:sRNA from 1 species
AAAAUCUUUUAAAAUUAAAAAAAUAUUUCAAAAUAACUUGAAACAUACAUAUUAUAAGCCUUAAUAAUAUCCUAAUCUCUUCCAAUUCCAAUAUUUCUAAUAUCAAAAUCUUUAUUUAUCAUAUAAAUACCCGCAAUGUAGGUCUGUGGGAGACGACGAUCCAAUCGAACAGAUGCGAAUGGAUGAUGUCGCUAAAGUUUUUUUCCUCUGUUUGCUGGAGUAAAAAAGGCGAGAGGACCACAGCGAGAGAGACGGAGGGCUCUGCAAUUCACGCGGAACUUGUGAAGCUGGAGUUUCAAAUGCAAAUGAAUUUGUAUCCUACAAAUGGGGAAGUACUGAUAAGUUUUGUAAUGUCUUUCGAAUAUGUUGCUCAAAUUCAUAUUCAAUUUGUAGUUUUCCUCAAAUCUGAGUGCCUAACAUAAUUACAGCGCCCAAUAAA